rnacentral:rRNA from 1 species
GAUGAACGCUGGCGGCGUGCCUAAUACAUGCAAGUCGAGCGAACGGACGAGAAGCUUGCUUCUCUGAUGUUAGCGGCGGACGGGUGAGUAACACGUGGAUAACCUACCUAUAAGACUGGGAUAACUUCGGGAAACCGGAGCUAAUACCGGAUGAUAUUUUGAACCGCAUGGUUCAAAAGUGAAAGACGGUCUUGCUGUCACUUAUAGAUGGAUCCGCGCUGCAUUAGCUAGUUGGUAAGGUAACGACUUACCAAGGCAACGAUGCAUAGCCGACCUGAGAGGGUGAUCGGCCACACUGGAACUGAGACACGGUCCAGACUCCUACGGGAGGCAGCAGUAGGGAAUCUUCCGCAAUGGGCGAAAGCCUGACGGAGCAACGCCGCGUGAGUGAUGAAGGUCUUCGGAUCGUAAAACUCUGUUAUUAGGGAAGAACAUAUGUGUAAGUAACUGUGCACAUCCUGACGGUACCUAAUCAGAAAGCCACGGCUAACUACGUG